rnacentral:siRNA from 1 species
AUACUUUUGACUGUUGUCCGCGC